UGCCCCAGUAACGGCGAGUGAAGCGGCAACAGCUCAAAUUUGAAAUCCGGCCCCCCCGGGCCCGAGUUGUAAUUUGUAGAGGAUGCUUUUGGCGCGGUGCCUUCUGAGUUCCCUGGAACGGGACGCCGGAGAGGGUGAGAGCCCCGUAUAGUCGGACACCAAGCCUCUGUAAAGCUCCUUCGACGAGUCGAGUAGUUUGGGAAUGCUGCUCUAAAUGGGAGGUAAAUUUCUUCUAAAGCUAAAUACCGGCUAGAGACCGAUAGCGCACAAGUAGAGUGAUCGAAAGAUGAAAAGCACUUUGAAAAGAGGGUUAAACAGCACGUGAAAUUGUUGAAAGGGAAGCGUUUGUGACCAGACUUGCGCCCGGCGAAUCAUCCGGCGUUCUCGCCGGUGCACUUCGCCGGGUUCAGGCCAGCAUCGGUUCUCUUAGGGGGAUAAAAGCGGUGGGAAUGUAGCUCCCUCGGGAGUGUUAUAGCCUGCCGCACAAUGCCCUUGGGGGGACCGAGGUUCGCGCGUCUGCAAGGAUGCUGGCGUAAUGGUCACCAGCGACCCGUCUUGAAACACGGAUCAAGGAGUCAAGCAGUAGGGCGAGUGUUUGGGUGCCAAACCCGCACGCGUAAUGAAAGUGAAUGUAGGUGAGAGCUUCGGCGCAUCAUCGACCGAUCCUGAAGUAUUCGGAUGGAUUUGAGUAAGAGCCUUACCGCUUGGACCCGAAAGAUGGUGAACUAUGCCUGUAUAGGGUGAAGCCAGAGGAAACUCUGGUGGAGGCUCGCAGCGGUUCUGACGUGCAAAUCGAUCGUCAAAUAUGGGCAUGGGGGCGAAAGACUAAUCGAACCAUCUAGUAGCUGGUUACCGCCGAAGUUUCCCUCAGGAUAGCAGUGUUGUUUUCAGUUUUAUGAGGUAAAGCGAAUGAUUAGGGACUCGGGGGCGCUAUUUAGCCUUCAUCCAUUCUCAAACUUUAAAUAUGUAAGAAGCCCUUGUUGCUUUAUUGAACGUGGGCAUUCGAAUGUAUCAACACUAGUGGGCCAUUUUUGGUAAGCAGAACUGGCGAUGCGGGAUGAACCGAACGCUGGGGUAAGGUGCCGGAGUGGACGCUCAUCAGACACCA
rnacentral:rRNA from 1 species